rnacentral:lncRNA from 1 species
AUGGAAUGGGAACAGCAGAGGCCAGGCUGUGCUGAGGGCGGGUUAGUCCAGCUGUGUCUCUGUCCGAGGGAAGCCCCACGCCCUAAGUUUCAUGCUGGACAGGACGCCUCAACCAGCCUCUCCAGCCAUCUCUCCUGCCACCUGCCACGUGGCUGCUUCCUGAGUAGCCCUGAAGACCUUGCUCCUUCUGCUGCCCCUGCUCAACAGAAAACAGCUCACGGAUGUGCCCCCUCCCUCAGGCCCGUGGCUCUUACGCACUCAGGUAAUACAUUUUUAUUUCCUUGCAGGAACAAGGUCUGAAAAUAGAUAAAGUGCAGGCCACAAACGAUAACCAUUCGAUGUAUUGACCCAGUCACAAGUUUAUCUUGGUGAAAUUCAGAUUUGUUCUUUAUUCCUGAACGCCAAAGCACCUUCGAUGGGCAGUUCCAGAGGCAUUACCAGGGCCAUUUGGCAAUAAAAUGUGACUGACUCUAUUAUGUAGGAUGGAG